rnacentral:lncRNA from 1 species
UCUAGUCUACAAUUCUCCAUGAACCUGGGGGUGCUGCUUCAGAAAGAGCCUAAAAAGUGUGUCCACUGGAUCAAAGGGCACCCGUGUCCACAGAUUCAGCAGUUACUGAGCAGAAAUCCUGCACUCAGCUUCUGGCUCCUCUUUGACUCCAGAGAGAGGCGUUGCCAUUUCCAGGUGGAAGUACCCUUUUUCUCCUGGUUCGGGUGCAACGUGUUCAAGAAAGUCUCGGGUCCUGUUUCUUCUCCCGAUGCCCUGCUGGCUGGGCGGUCUUAGCCCCUCUCCUGGGAGCUCCUGGAUCGUGUGCCGGGCUCCGCUGUUGAGACCCAAGGACAGAGUGGGCUCAUCCCACUAGAACGACCGCAAAGAAGAACACUCCUUCCCUGCAUCGGCGGCUUCGUGUCACAGGGGGCUUCAAACGGAAGAGGAGGAGGAGCCCACGCACAUACACGCAGGUGCACCACACGCACGCACACGCAUGCACACAGACGCCAGACUCUUCCAGCCGGAGCUACAGGACUUUGCGGACCUGGGCACGCAGCCCAUCCCUCUGCCCGUCCCUCUUUCCUCGGCCAGCAAGUCCCUGCAGGGCUGCACCUCUGUGGACGACAGUGGCCACACAAGCCAGGUCCUAGCUCUGUCCUGCGUCCCAGCCUUCUUAUUUUCAGGCUCAUUGCGCCUUCCAGAAGGAACGUCCAUACGCUCCGGCCCUGACGGAACUCUCGGACAUCCAGCCCUGUUUGAGCCCCGCUCAGGACAGCGGAUGCGUGUCGACUUGGAAGCCUGAGACUCUGGAAUUUGACUGGAGGGGAACUGGCCGAGGCUGGGCGCUGUGCAACCACAGAAACACUGCUGGUCUUUGCUCCUGGAUCUCCGGCAAUUUCUUGGGUGACAAGAGUGUCUGCUGAUAUCGCUGCCCAGCCCUUUCAGGCACACUUGACAGCGUCAGGGAGGGGCCGGUCACCAGAAGGGCCAAGUGGCCAGGGCUGGGAACCCGCUGGGGCG